rnacentral:tRNA from 1 species
GCUACUGUGGCUUAGUUGGUCAAAGUGCCUGUCUUGUCAACAGGAGAUCCUGGGUUCAAAUCUCAGCAGUACCU